CCCUUGCCGAUUGCUUUGUUUUGGCUCGUGUCUUAUUACACGGGUGAAAUAAACCUAGAAGGAUUAUAUUAUUCCUAUAUUCUACCAGGAGUCCGUACUUCUAUCCUGUUGUAUCUCAGCCCGGUCUGUACAGGGACCUGGUCCGAUCAACCUCUUCAUGAUCUACCCUUUCGUGAUCAGACCAUAGAGAAUCCUUAGUUUGGAAUCAUCUUGAGCGUAAAAGACUGCAUCUAAUAUAUACUGUAGCAGCUAUCCCAAACCAAACCAAGCACAAGAAGCGGCAUCUAUCAUGGCCGAUGCACAGGAACAGGAGGAGAGGAGGACAAUAAAAGAGCGGCGGGAUGCUAUGCAUCGGCAGAAAUCGGCGGAGGAGUUCUGGUAUCCUAAACCAGGAGGAGGACCAAAAGGAUGGUCGGAACGCUGGCUGCUAUUUCACUUCGAAGAUGUGGAAAAAUGACAAUAUCAAUACACAACCUCCGACGAUAGCCUGCAAAUUGAAUCUAUCAAAAUUGUAUCAACAAGAGGAGCUCUACGGUGGCCCAUAGAUGUGUUCGGCAUGAUCACCGUGCGGGAUGUCUUGGAUAAUCGCAUGCGCAAUAUUAUCUUCGCCCGUGCAAGGAGUAAUUGUCAAACCAUCGACGAGGAGCACCCCUAUCUACAACUCACAGGUCCUAUGCGUGCUAUUGUGACCUGUAUCGACCCUGGGAACAUCGAGAUCGCGCUCAAAGUUAAGGGAGCAACUGAAUCAGAGGAUAGAGACCUAAGUUUUCUAGUUUUAUUGUUGAAAAGCAGUAUGUAUAUUUCCUACCAUUGAGACUACUCUAGCAAGCGUAGCACACUCAAGUUAGAAUUUCACCACAUGGCUGGUGCCAUGGAGGCGACUAUCGGUGUGCGACUCAUCACCGGUGGAUCAUCAUUGCCACUAGGUGAUUUUCAAGGUGUAUUCACUGCCAGCAUAGAUGAUGUGGGGAUUUUGUUGCUUGCCUUCAGAGAUGGUAAACUGUCCUUCGCCAAUGACGGCACGGUCAAUCUUUCACGACGUUUUAUAAACGUUGGACUCCAUGAUCGAGAAGAGCUCAAGGUCUCUAUUGUCGCAAGAUGUGAAGAGGAGGGUAUAAGAGAUGAUAUAGUUUUCACACCUAAAAGAUAUGGUAGAAGUUGUGGUGUACUUAAUAUGGGUACGUGUAAGAUGAAAGUCACCG